AUUACUUCUUGACCUUUCAGCUAAAAUCAAGUGUAAUAUCUGUUCUUAUCAGUUUGAUGUGUCCCCUAUCUGAGGAUGUAAUAAAAAUAAACAUAAAUAAAU
rnacentral:snRNA from 1 species